GUUUUCCCGACGGUAAAAAAUAUUUUGAACGAUCUGUAUCCAAAUUCGGAAUUUAUUGGUACGUAAUUAUUUAUACUGACGGAGUAUGCUUUUGCGCACUGAUCUGCUAUGAUGGUCAGGGUCAAAACAGUGAAGUGACCUCGUAAUUUUUGGCGCGGUUAUUGUUGUUCCAACAUGUGGGGAUAAGGAAAUUUUGUCGGUGUUUGUUAAUAUCUGUCACAAAUAUAUACGCAGUUCAGUUCCAUUGUGGUGUAAGGAUCAUAUUGUACGCAAAAGGAAUCGCUGUUGGGCUGUAAUGGUCGAUCUCCGAUGAAAUCUCGGGCGAUUUCAAAGCUCGUCUAAGAUUUGUCAUCAUUAUUAACUUUGAAAAUCUGCAAAAGAAGUAAAAUGAAUGGUGAAAUACCAAGUGUACCAAUUACCACACUUGCUGGGGUAGCAAGUCUGACGGACUUGCUUCCUGAAUUACCACUGCCGUCACCAUUGCCUGCUACCCUGGGCAACAAAAGUUUGCUGUAUAAUCCUAGAGUCUCUGAAGAGGCGAGAAGAAUUCUGUCUACUCCAGAUGAGAAUUUAGUUCCUCAGCUCUUGCAUGCUCUUGGGCAAACCAGCACAGAUCACAUAGAAUUGAAAGAUAAAUCAAUUGGUGAUGAUAUUGAAGGAGAUGUACCUGCUCUACUUCAGGCAAUAUUGGCGCAAAAUCCAAAUGCCUUCAAGCAAAAGAGUCAAAUGGAGAGAAUUGGUGGAGUGUCUCCGAGACAGCCCAUGCAACCAUCUCCAUAUUAUCAGCAGUCUCCUGAUGCAAUGGUACAGCACUCUCCAUAUCAGAGAGGGCAUACACCGAUGCAAGGCAGUCCUUCUGCAGGUUUUCCUCAAGGAAGUCCAUCAAGAUUUCCACAAGGUAGCCCAGUACCAAAGUUUACCCAAAGCAGUCCACAGAGAUUUCCACAGAGUCCAAAUAAAUUCCAACAGUACCCAUUUCCACAGCAGCAAAACCUAAGUCAAGGUUCUCCAGCUCCUGCACCACAAACAUCAAUCAAUGGUUUCCCCGGUUCUCAAUAUUCACCGGCAACAGCUCCUAGUCCUGCGGUACCUGCUGUGUCUCCUGGUGUUAUGUCACCUCCACACCCAAGGACAAGACCUCCACACAGUCCUGGGGCGGCAGUUUCGGCUUCGUCGCCAGGAAGUAGUGGAAAACCCUUCCAGAGACAAAAACAACACCUACAGCAGUUGCCGCCGCCACACCAACAUAAACAACCACCGCCACCACAUCCUCCACCAUUGCAUCAGAAAAAGGAACAGGAGACAUCACUAUCUUGCCAGGUUUCUCGACAACACCAAUCCAAACUAGAACGUGAAAAAAACAGUGAAAUUGAUCAUAAACAAAAUAAUGUUGCCAUACUAGAACAAUCUGCGACUGUGGAUCAGUCGUGUGAAAAUGAUGUGAAUCUCAUUUCACCAUUAAAAAGGACAGAAAGAAAUAAAAGUAAUGAACAAUCACUGAAUCUGGAUUUUAGGGAGAAAACUCCCACUGGUCAAAGAAGAAAAUCCAGCUCUAGUGUUAAAAGUGGACCAGUUGUCCUUCUCCAGCCACUUACAGAAGCAGAGAAAGCACUAGCAAGGAAGAGUGCCACAGCUUUCCAGUGUAAGACGCCGACAUCACUGCCGAAACCUAUGGUCAGAUUAGAGAGGCUUGAUCUUUCAGCCUUUUCGGGUGGCAAAGAUUCCCCUGCAAGGGAAAGGCUUACGCUGAAGUUAUCAAAAAGAAAGUCUGGACGACCCAGGAAACAACCAGAUGAGAUCCUGCCUGAGUUGAACCUUGAUGAACCAAUGACUCCAAGUCCACAAUUGGUUAGAGGAAAGAAGAGGCCAAGAUACAGUGAAAUGUCAAGUAGCAGUAGUGAGAGUAGUAGUUCUGCAGCUGAAGUGGAAAGUAUUGAAAGUGAUGAUAGUGACGGUUCUUCUGUUGAAGAUCAUCGAAGGCGUAGGAAGAAAAGUGGGAAAUCACGUCGUAUAAUGGAUGAUGAAGAAAUGAUGGAAAGUUCCACGUUCAAGAGAUUCACUAAUGCAAUGGAAAGUGUAUUUGAACAGUCUGAGGAAAUGGAUUUAACUGUUGAUAUGGAUGAUGAAGCCAAUUGCUCACCUGACUUACUCAUAUCAAAAGGUUUACUCUAUGAACUCAGCAGUCAAGCAGCCAAAUUAAAAUCUAUGGAGGUUAUGAAUAAGAUUGCCCCAGAUAAACUUGUGAGGCUUUUAAAUAUAUUGGAGAGAAAUAUUAGAGAUGGGAGUAAACUACAACCAACCAUGAACCAGGUUGAUGAGGGUAAACAUGAACAGAAAUUGUGGCGCGAGUUGACAAUGGAUCGUGUUAUGCGAUCACUAGAUGCAGGUCUAACAUCAAUGUAUAUCAUGACUGCUGAUAACAUGCCAAAAGAAGUAUAUUUAGAAGAUGUAAUUGAAAGGUUGGCAUCAUUGGUGAAGUUCCAGCUUCUUAAUACAAUCUACCCAGAAUAUGAUCCAGUGUAUAGGAUGUCAUCCACUGAUAGAGAUGGUUGUAUGAGCAAUAUGAAAAUGAAACGUGCCAGAGCACAUGGUACAAAGGAGAAAUCAGUUAUAGCCAUGUAUAAUAAACUGUGUGAACUUGUCUCCAAUUUUGGUGAUCUCCUAGAAGUUCAGACACUCACCGAUACCACAGUAUUACAAAUCUCAUCUAUUGGCUUGGCUCCAUUCUUUGUUGAGAAUGUGAGUGAACUACAACUUAGUGCUAUGAAACUUAUCACAGGGGUAUUCUCUAACUACGAAAAACACAGGCAGCUUAUUUUAGAAGAUAUAUUUGCAUCACUAGCAAGACUUCCAUCAAGCAAGAAGAAUCUCAGGAACUUCAGGCUAAAUGCUGAUCAGAAUAUUCAGAUGGUGACUGCUUUAGUGUUACAGUUGAUACAAUGUAUAGUAACACUGCCAUGUGAUGAAGAAAAUGAACCUCGUGAUGAUGAUGAUGAAGAUUCAGAAGAUGAAAGAAAAGAUGAUGUUGAUAAAGAUGUUAGUAUUUUAAGUCACUAUGAGAGUGCUCUCAGAGUGUCGCAAAAUUUCCUCUCAGUCUUCCUCAAAAAGUGUACAAAUAAAGAUGAAGAAGACUACCGUCCAUUGUUUGAAAAUUUUGUUCAAGAUUUGCUCUCCACUGUCAAUAAACCAGAGUGGCCUGCUGCUGAGGUGUUCCUCAGUUUACUUGGUAGACUACUUGUACAUCAUUUCAGUAACAGGUCUAACGAUAUGACCCUGAGAGUGUCCUCCUUGGAUUAUUUAGGCCUAGUUGCUAGUCGGUUGAGAAGAGAUGCAGUCACAAGUCAACUUGAUCAGCAUACGAUUGAUUCUAUUGUUAAAGGGGGAAAAGAAUCAGAUAGUGAUUCAUCUUCAGAUGAGAGUUCUGAAUCGUCAGAUAGUUCAGCAGAUCAUGUACAGUGUCUUCAGCGUGCAAUGUUAAAUUACCUAGCAUAUCAUGGACAGAACGAGCCAGCUUUAUUGUUUGCCAGACAGUUUUAUAUAGCUCAGUGGUUUCGAGAUACAUCAACAGAAGUGGAAAAAACGAUAAAAGCUCAAGAAACAAUGGAAGACACCACAGAGGUUCUUCAAUCAAUGGAAAAACGGAAACUGUUCUUAAUAGAUAUGAUUAAAAUCAAUAGUAGACCUUUUGCAUCAAUUAGGCAAUCAAAUAACAAACUGACAUAUGAAAAUGCCAGUUUGGUUGCGAGGUAUUUAACUGCGAAUAGACCCUUUUCUCAGAGUUUUGAUAUUUAUCUUAGCCAGAUUCUUAGAGUACUUAGUGAACAAGCUGUAGCUGUUCGAACAAAAGCUGUGAGAUGCCUAACGCAAGUAGUUGAAGCUGAUCCCAGUAUGCUUGCCAGGCCUGACAUGGAGCGAGGAGUUCAUGGUAGAUUUAUGGAUCAUUCAACAAGUGUUAGGGAAGCUGCUGUUGAGUUGGUUGGCAAGUUUGUUUUGAUGAGACCUGAGCUGAUACCCCAGUAUUACAACAUGUUGUUAGAAAGGAUUCUGGAUACUGGUAUCAGUGUUCGUAAGCGUGUCAUUAAAAUACUCAGGGACAUUUGUAUAGAACAUCCAGACUUCCCCAAGGUGCCUGAAAUGUGUGUCAGGAUGAUAAGGAGGGUCAAUGAUGAAGAAGGUAUUAAGAAACUGGUAAAUGAAACAUUCCAGAAGAUGUGGUUUACUCCAUUGCUAGCUUCUGACUCAACAGGGCUUCUAAGACGAGUGCAUCAUAUCACAGAUGUUGUCACAGCAUGUAAAGAAAGUGGUUAUGAAUGGUUUGAACAGCUACUUUGUAAUUCACUAAUGUUACAGAAUGGGAAAGCAGGUCCUGAAAGAGACCCAGCUAGGAAGCUGAUGAGAGUGGAGUCAAGUGUACAAAGUAGAACGGUGUAUCGAGCAUGUGUACAGAUAGUAGAUUGUCUGGUGGAAAAUGUGCUACGACUAGAAGAGAAAGCAGCUGAAAUGUCUGCAGAGGGCAAGAAUACAAGCAGCCACAGAUUGGUGUCCUGUAUGCAGACAUUAUUUUUGUUUGCCAAAAUAAAGCCAAUUCUUUUAGUGGACCAUGCAACAACUCUUCAACCCUACCUCACCACCAAGUGCAGCACGACUGGUGAUUACUUAGUUUUGUUCAAUGUGGCCAAAACUCUUGAACUAGUUGUUCCAUUGAUGGACCAUCCAAGCGAGAUAUUCCUUGCUACACUUGAGGAGGAUCUCAUGAAACUUAUCAUUAAACAUGGGCAAAUGGUGCUGCAGAGUUGUGUUAGUUGUUUAGCAUCUGUUGUAAAUAAUGUGACGCAUAAUUACAAACUUGUUAAAGACUGCUUCCAGAAGUUCUUUGGUGUUCUUUCAAAGAUCAAGAAUGAACUCACUCAAAAUCCUGCAAGUACAGCCCUGAUUACUAACAAGCCACCAUUACUCAGGUCAUUAUUUACAGUAGGUUUGUUCUGUAGACAUUUUAACUUUGAAAAAGACAUCAAGGCUUCCAGUAAGGUAUCUGUUAAAGACCGUGUAUUUGAAGUACUCUUAUUUUUUGUAUCAAAGUCUGAUGAAGAAAUCAAAGUGAAAGCGUUUCAGGGUAUUGGUUUCUUCCUAGUUACAUUUGCAGACAUUAUGCUUGGCUCCAAAAUGAAACAGUUAUACAAUGAUGUUCUUGACGAUCCCGAUAGCCCUGUCAAACUCAAAGCACAGGUACUUCGGAAUCUGACAUUAUAUCUAACUGAUGAAGAAGAAAAGAUGAGGCAAGCAGAUGUUGAAUGGAAGAAAAUUCGACAAAAUGAAGAUUUGAAAGAACUGGGUGAUAUUCAUUCAGGGAUGAGCAGUUCAGUUAUGCAGGUGUAUCUGAAACAAGUUAUGGAGUCUUUCUUUCAUACAGACUCAACAGUUAGAAUGUGUGCCUUACAAGUUAUUCACCUUGUACUUAGACAAGGUUUGGUGCAUCCUGUACAGUGUAUUCCGUAUCUGGUUGCGAUGUGUACAGAUUACCGGGAACCAACUAUCUGCAUAAAAGCUGAACAACAACUGUCGGAUAUAGAUAGCAAAUAUCCUGGUUUCAUCCAUAUGAAAGCAUUGGCCGGUAUUAGGAUGUCAUAUCGGUUGCAGCAGCUCAUUAAUGGGGAUACAUUGGAACCUCUUAGAGGUACAAACUUUGAUGAGCACACAAGCAGUUUAUGUUCACAUCUCUACACCUUGAUCCGAUCCAAUAGACUUCACAGAAGAGCUUUACUGUUGAAUCUUCUUAAUCUUUUUGAUGAGCAGUCGAAAAACCAACUAGGUCUGUUAGUAUAUGUGGCUGAUAAUCUUGCAUAUUUCCCAUAUAAUGUUCAUGAUGAACCCUUAUUUAUUAUGCAUUAUAUAGAAAUCAUUGUAUCGGUAUCUGGUGCAAAUUUAUUACAAUCGUUUAAAGAGUGUUUGUUCAGGUCAAAAUCAGUUCAACAAAAUGCUCAGCAAAAUGGUUCUAGACCACCUUCUAGAACAAGCAAUGGUGCUAAAUCCCCAGAGCCAGAGCCAGAGCCACAACCAGAGCAGGAACCGGAACCAGAACCUGAAACUGAAAGGGAGCAGGAACCAAUGCCUCUACCAGAAAACGAGAAUGACAUCAAGAAUGAAAAUGAAAAUGUGGGUGAAAAUGAAGUUGUACCACAACCAGACGCAGAACCUGUGCUUGUGCCAGUACUCUUAGAUGAUGAGGAUGAAGUUGACAUUGAUCUUCUCAUGCGUAAAAAGGAUACCAGAAAAUCCUAAAGCUCUUCUGGACUGUUGUGCUGCUUCUCAAGCGUGCAUGGUUCUACUUGUUCUUAAACAACAUCUGAAGGACACUUUUGGAUUUAGAGACAGCACUAUUCACAGGUAUUCCCCUACUGAGGCAGCCAAGGUGUAUGACAAAGCACUCAACAGGAAGCAUGGGUUGACCUUUAACCCUGAACGAGCUUUACAGUUUUUGAGGCAAGGCGUUCCACAAGUGCCACUUUCGGAUGAAGCAAAGAAAGAUAUUGUUUCUGAAUACCUGGAUUUCAAAGCAUUGAUGGAGAUGUUGGAUCCUGCUGAAGAUGAAGAAGAAACUGGCAGAGCUAGUCCCAAAAUUGCAGAAGCAACUAAUGCCAGAACACCACAACCUACAACUGGAUCUGCAUGUGGUACUGCCAGUCCAGGAGGAGCAGACCAACCAAAUGCAACAGAUAAUAAAGAUGAAAAUAAUACGGGUAAACAAGAGACAACGACUGUGGAUCUAGCUGCUCCUAUACAAAGUCUAGUUACGAAUAUUGGAUUAGACAGGACACCGUAUCCAUACAACCUGCAGGUUACAAAGCAUCCAAAGAGAUCAAAACCGAAGCCAAAGCCAAAGCCAAAGAAACCAAGACACAGAAAGAGG
rnacentral:misc_RNA from 1 species